UUUGAUAAAUUUCAGCACGCUUCAAAUUGUUAAAAUACGUCAAUCCCCCAUAACAUACAAUAUACAAAUAUAGUUUCAUAUUAGUUUUUGAGUUACCUGACUUUAAUCAUAUGUAAUUUUAUCAAGAUUUCGAUUAGGACUCUGGUAUCGUAUGAGCUACACGUCUAAGAAACGGUUUAAUAGUCGAUCUUCAAGCAAUACAUAUAUUACUCUCUCUGCCUUUGUAAGAAUUAUAAAGGAAAGAACGCAUACGACAGCCGCAGAAAAGAUAUAUUCUACAUAUAUAACAUAUAUAUCAGCAAAGGAUUAUUUGGACUUUUACUUUACGCAUAUGUCGAUUAAGCUGCACGCGCAACCAAAAAAUUUUCUGAUUUUAUUUUCGGCGUUGCCUAUGGAACUAAAGUGCUUUAUAUUUUUUUGCGAGGUUAUUGCACUUUCAACCAGCGACAACAACAACAACAACAAUGGCUGAGCAAUCAGCGAUAGAAGCAAAAAUGGCACAAGAGCAGCAGCAGCACAUGUGAGCAGCGGACUGAGGGGUUUGUCAGACAUAGCAUGAAUAAUAGGCAAGACAUCAGAGAACAGCAACAACAGCAACAACAACAGCAAUAAUCAUAAGCGAGACUGAGAACGAGAACGAGAACCACGCACUGAAAAUGGCGAUUCAUCAAAGUCCACUUAACAAGUUUUUUGCAUUUGAAAGACAACAACAAAUUGGCCUAGACCAAACGCGUAAGAAGAAGAUUAAGAAAUAGCCAACCAGCCGUAGACUGGCUGACUGAAAACGUAAUAGAGCGCAGAGCCGGCAAAUGCUUAAUGCCACAAAUUAGAAUGUAUAUUAUGAAAUUUGUGUAUGUAUGUAUGUAUGAAUGCUA